GAUGAAGAACGUAGCGAAAUGCGAUACGUAGUGUGAAUUGCAGAAUUCAGUGAAUCAUCGAAUCUUUGAACGCACAUUGCACCUCUCGGUAUUACGGGAGGUAUGCCUGUUCGAGCGUCAUUUGUACCCUCAAGCUCUGCUUGGUGUUGGGUGUUUGUUCCGCCUCUGUGUGUGAACUCGCCUCAAAACAAUUGGCAGCCGGCGUACUUGUUUCGGAGCGCAGCACAUUUUGCGAUCCAGAUCAACGUACAGCGGCAUCCAAGAAGCCUUAUUUAACGCUCUUGACCUCGGAUCAGGUAGGGAUACCCGCUGAACUUAAGCAUAUCAAUAAGCGGAGGA
rnacentral:misc_RNA from 1 species